UACGGGGGGGGCAGCGUUGUUCGGAAUUACUGGGCGUAAAGGGCUCGUAGGCGGCCAACUAAGUCAGACGUGAAAUCCCUCGGCUUAACCGGGGAACUGCGUCUGAUACUGGAUGGCUUGAGUUCGGGAGAGGGAUGCGGAAUUCCAGGUGUAGCGGUGAAAUGCGCAGAUAUCGGGAGGAACACCGGUGGCGAAGGCGGUUCUCUGGGCCUUACCUGACGCUGAGGAGCGAAAGCUAGGGGAGCGAACGGG
rnacentral:rRNA from 1 species